rnacentral:rRNA from 1 species
GACGAACGCUGGCGGCGUGCUUAACACAUGCAAGUCGAACGGAAAGGCCUUGCUCUUGUGGGGUGCUCGAGUGGAGAACGGGUGAGUCUCACGUGAGUAACCUGCCAUCGGCUUUGGGCUACUUCUAGGAAACCGGGGCUUAUACCGGAAAGGGGCUACUGCUGCCUGGUGGGGGCUGGAAAGUUUCGGCGGAGGGGGAUGGACUCGCGGCUUCUCAGCCGGUUGGUGGGGUCGUGUCCUACCAAGGCUUUGACGGGUAUCCGGCCGGACGGGGUGACAGGCCGCAAUGGGACGGAGAAGCGGCGGAGACUCCUACGGGGGGCAGCAGUGGUGAAGAUUUCACAGUGGGCGGAAGCCGGAUGCAGCAGCGCCGCGGGCGGGAUGACGGCCUUCGGGUUGUAGUCCGCUUUCGCCUGUGGCGAAGCGUGAAUGACGGUAAUGGGUAAAUAAGCACCGGCUAACUACGUG